ACACAUGCAUAUACACGCUUACUCUCUCUUUCUCAAUAUAAUAAACAUUUUAAAUAAAAAGUUGAAAAUUGCACUAAUAAUCCCAGCCUAGGUGCUAACAUAAACUCACUCACUCCUUCAUUGUCAGUCACUUCUUGUUAAAUAUGACACUCAAGAGCUGGUGGGCUACAUACACAGUCACUAUCAAUAUUUACAGGCUUUAACAGUAAGUCACACGACUACCCUAGUCCUAGGUCCAAUAGGAAUUCACUUAAAGCAACACUGCACAAAAAAAAUGUUUCCAGUGAGUUCCUUAAAAAAAAAAAAAAAAAAAGCAUCGUUUAGCACUUCGGUUUUUCAGGGUCUAAUUAUCAGUCCGGAUACAGAUGUUCUUUAUGAUGCAGAACAGUAAAAUUGAGAAAAAUAAAUGGAAACGUCAAUGAAUUUAAAAGGAAGCCAAACAAGUGAUACUUUUAAAGAAUCCUUAAAUAGAUAACACUUUCCCAAAUAUUUACAUAAGGCACAAUAAAAUGUAAUUUGUUUCAUUCACUCAUUCACAAUUUUUAACCAUUGAAGCAGAAGACAGGAUGAAAUGUGUGAGCAGCCAACAGGAAGGAAAGAUGCUGUCAGCCCUACCACUGGGCAAUCUGAGUACAGGAUGGGCCCACCCUUGAGGGAAUCCCCAGACCAUCACAUGGCCUCCUGGGAACAGGGGGGAAAUGACUCACAGCCAAGAGAGCAUGGAAAUGUGAUCCAAAUAGGGAAAGCUGGGCUUCCACCCAGUGUGAGAGAGAGAUGCUACCCCGGUCUUGGAUGAGACACAUUCUUUGAGAAAGUAGAACUUGGCCGUGUGGAAGGAGCUCCCUCCUUCCAGAACCCUGUAAGGAAGCACUGAAUAGGCAGAACCCCAGAGAUUCAUCCAUCACGGGUGGGGGCUCACACUUGUAGUACCAACAAUCUUGAAGUAUUGCUUCCCCCAAAAAAGAGGAUUAGAAACCCAAGUCCACCCCUAAGGUCAGCUUCCUCCUCUGCAGGAUUAUGUCACUCUCUCUGACAGCUUGUGAUGCAUGUGGACCACAGAGUUUGGUACCACUUGAUGAAGAGUAGAGAUCGCAGCCCUAAGAAAGGUUUCACCAAUGCAACUAUAAACUUGUUCACAGUUCUACCGAAGUGGGGAGCUGAGGCUCUUGGUUUCCCCUCAUUAACCUGCAUUUGCACCACAGCUGGGACAGGGGGAGGGUGGUGCGAUCAGGGCUAGAAAGGGUUAAAUCAAGGCAGGGCAGACCACAUCCAGGGAGCUUGGUGCUACUUAAAUUAGAGAAAGUCCUUGCCUGAGCUUAAUGAGCUAUGAGUCCCUCAGCCUAUAAGGCAGUGGCUCUCAACCUAUGGUUGCUUAAAGACCUCUUUGGGGGUCACAUAUCAGAUAUCCUGCAUAUCAGGUAUUUACAUUGUAAUUCAUAAGAGUAGCAACAUUACAAUCAUAAAGUAGCAAAUAGCUUUAUGGUUGUAGGUCACCACAGCAUGAGGAUCUGUAUUGCAUUAGGGAGGUUGAGAACCACUGAGCCAUAGGAAGAUCAAAGGCCACAUCUUGGGACUUUCCAAGAGGUAUACAAGUCCCAAGUACAUCCUCGUUUGUCUACCCUCUGCAAGGAGAGAGUGUGGCUUGAGCAGAUCCUGAACAAAUGUUUUGUGAAUGAAUGAAUGAAUGAAUGAAUGAAUGAAUGAAUUAAAUCAAGAUGCAUAUAUAGAUGGUGGGUCAGAGAUGCAGAAUCAGGCAGGAGGCAGAAGCCUGUGUAAGCCAAGAACUGAUGGAGACUCAUCUAAUUAACCAAGUCCCAGCUCUCAUAUGGUUCUUUGGAGUAGAAACCAAACUUAACCCAGCUGGUCUGGGCCCUUCAGGUCGUUAGUCACAUCGGCCUGCAGUAAGCAGAAUUCAGAAGUCUCUUCCUUGGUCUCAUGUGCCUCCCGAGGCAUCACUUGGGAGCGAGGCACCUGAACAUGUCUGACUAGAAACACCUCAGAGAAUAUGGAAGACUUAGUUCAUUAUCAGGCCACCGAGCAAUAUGCUGUACCGAACUCAGUUGUCAGAAGCACCUCCCCUUCCUCUUCCCCUCCCCUUCCUCUUCCCUUUCUCCUUCCUCUUCCCCUCCCCUAUCCACCCAAUUAUCAGCCAAUUCCAGCCCCUGCUGGAUGGGACGCAAAAUAAAGGCAACAGAGCUCCUAGUUUCCAACACUGAGACAAGUCUCCAUCCAGCUUGAUACUAUGUUUCCUGUCUGCUCCUGUGAUGCUUAAAUACUGAUUGAAAUCCUCCAAAGGGACUAGCUAACCACUUCUCAUUUCUGCAAGCUGGAGUACAGUUCUAGUGCUCAUUACACAAUGACUCUUCCCAAUUUAGCAAGAGACACUAAUUAUUCUAUUUAACUGGUGACUGAUGACCCCACUCCCACAUACGACUUCUUGCCAAGUUUCUAAUGCUGAUUAGUUUGCAAACAGCUUCUGCCCUUCUGUACGCUGGAAAGUUUGCCAAACCUGAGAGGGCAAUUUAGACUGGACCUCAAGCUCCCCGAACUCUCAGCCCAUUCCAUCUCUGCUACCUCCAGUCCUGAAUUGGCUCUGCUCCUGUUCACCCCAGUGAGUGGAGAACAUCCGUGGCUUGGUGUGGUCUCGCUCUGUCAUCACACCUAACAGUCUGGUUGCUCAGUGGGAGUGCUGCCAGAGUCUGCCUCUCUGAUUCCUUAGGAUAAGCUAAGAUUGUGUUUUGUUUUGUUUUGUUUUGGAGCUGGGGACCGAACCCAGGGCCUUGCGCUUGCUAGGCAAGCGCUCUACCACUGAGCUAAAUCCCCAACCCCUAAGAUUGUGUUUUAAAUUUGCAGACAUUCCAGGCUGGGAUACUGAGAUUUUUUUUUGACAGCUAAGGGUCUGCUUGCUUGGACCACUGACACGAUAGCCUCUCCUAGUACUCAAAAAGAAACCAGGCCUGAGGUGGUGGGGUGCACGCCUAGAACCCCAGAAUUUGGGAGUGUGAGAUAGGAGGAUGGCUUGUUCGAGUCCAUCAGACUAUACAUUAAAAGCCUAGCUCCAGAAAUCAAAGCAAAACAAAACCCAGGACUAGUUUGGGAGCUCAGAUCCAAAAGUCCCAGCAUAGUCCCCUGCCGCAAUCAUUUUUCCUUUGUAGGUAGAGAUGUCUACCCAAGCACUGCCUAUCCAGCUACCAGCUACACUUAGUGAACAGGAUCUCAGCAGCCCUGUUCACAAGCCACGCUUUUCCACAUCCUCCCCACUGGAAGGGCCGCUCGCUGUUCUCUGCCCCAGAGCUGGAAGCUGUUUGGGCUCAGACACUCUCGCUCGCCUCUUUCCACUGUUCUGCAGCCAGUUGACAGGGAUUAAAGAAAACAAAUAAAAAUGGCCAUUCAAGGAGAGCCAAACUCCAGAGGCUGCCAAGAGCUCCCUCCCUCCCGACUUGACAAGGCGGCUCCUUCAUAGCCUAACAAAGGAGGUUGUGACAUGUUUAGACACAAAUACAAGUUGGCGAUGUCUCUUUCAGUGUUGUGAAUUCGGUGUGGGGUUGUGGGUUGGGUGGGGAUGAAUGAGCAGAUGACUGAGGAAAAGGACGGAUGCUCUUGGGGAAGAAUCCCUAGGAUCUUAGCGGCAAGCUCCUGCUCCAUUCCUGCUGUAGCCCUGACGCCUCCGAUUCCUACCCUGCAUGUCAUCGGCCUGUACACACACACACACACACACACACACACACACACACACACACACACACACUACCAUCCUUCCCUCUUGCUCCUUAUGCUUCAGGUGUGAAGGCGCAUGUCCUGACUAUCUAGUAUAGUCUUUCUUCCUAUACAAGACUUUGCUUCACCUCUCCUGACCUGGUCCGAAUGAUGCGCUUGUUCCUCAGACUUGUCCCCGUGCUCCCUUACACUAUAGUAGUCACAAGACAGAAAUGGCCUCAGUCAUCUCUGGGCCCAGCACUUAAAGAUGAUGCCUGUACAUGACAACAGUGGUGUUCACUCAAUGUCCCCUGAAAGGACGGCAAAGUCCAUUGUUUGAGCAGGUCUGGCGUCACGUGAAGAUUCAGAACAGAGCCGUUCAAAGCCAAUUGCCCUUUGUAAAUGCCUUUUCCUUCAUUCUGAGAUUCACCUCUGCUUAUGAUAACCUGGUAAAAGGCACAGUAGUCCAUGCCACUGAUCAUGGUCUGUUCUAGUUGGAGACACGGGUGCUGCCAUACUUGACCUGUGCGGCAUUAGGGAUCAAAGCCAGGAUUUGGGGCAUAUUAGGUAAGUAUUCUGCCAACAGAACCAGUCCCAACCCUAGUCAUGUUUCCCCACGGGAAGUCCUACUACUCCUGUCUCUGAUAUGGAGGAACCAGCAGUGUGGCUAUAGGGGUCCUUCCUGUGUGUCCCAGUAGAUUUCAUGGCCACAGCUAGAGGAGACCUCACUGCACAGCAUUGAGUUCGUCAAAUUGCGAUCACGUGAAAGUUAUGGAAUGCAAUAAAACAAUCCUGGUUCGCCCAUCCUCCAACAGCUAAGUAAAAGUGCACCUUCAGGGUUAGAGUUCGUAGUCUGUGCAGUAUAGGGGCGCUCCGUGCACUGAGGAGCACUUGGUGUAGUAUAGGGGUGCUCACCAGGUCCCUGGAGUAGGAGGUAGCCUUUGCCCAUUCACUCAACCACACAGGAGAGGGGCCGGUGUCUGGAGAGAGCGGUAGCUGCCAACUCUGGAUCUCACCCCUAAUCUAACCCACUGCCCUGGAGCGGGCCGUCUUCAGGGGCAGAUGAGCAUCAGUAGAGGUGAACAGGAAAGAACGGGGAAAUACUUCAUCCUCCGUUGGUUUGCGUAGGAGUAACUGGGUUUCAGAAGACUCAGAGGCUGUGGUCUAACACGUCAGAGAGAGAUCUCAGAAGAUAAGGAAGCAGGUCCCUUAGUGAAACUGUUACACACCCGUGGAGGAGCAUGUUACUCACGGCGGAAGGAACUACCCUUGGUGGGAAUUGCUGCUUACUUCUCAAACCUUCCUCUCAUUCCAAGAAAAGAACCCCAGUCUGACACACCCUUAUCCUUUCAUGUAAAUUAUGUGAAAGUGGUUUCCCUCCUUACAAGCCCCCCCCCCCCCGUUGAUUCUCCACACAGCAGCCUGCAGGAUGAGGAGCCCAGUACAGUGACCUUCGAGUGUAAUACCCAGCCACACUAAACUAGAAACAGAAACCCCAUUUUUAUUAAUCGCUGUUGAAUUUGUAUGGCUCUCUUCCUUGUGCCAGUCAGAGCUAGCUGCUGGCUGAUGCAACACAUGAAGGUCAUCUUUAUAAAGCACAGUGCGACUGGCCGUUCACUCUGAACAUUCACACCCAAGCAUCAUUCGGGAAUUCUUCCAAAAACACCUUCUGGAGAAUUAACAGCGGCAGAAUCUCAUGACAAAAAGGAACAGGAGACAAAGGUAAAGAGCCGGAGUGCCCAUGUUACCAGAGUAUCGGUCGUCCUUGGUCUAAGACCACCCACCAAGGCCAGAGGAUGAGUGUGAGCUUGGUCCCACCGUGGACAUUGGUUCAGUUCUAGGGAUCCGAACCUGGAACCAAGCCAAAGGGAGCAACCUUUCCUGGUUUGACUGGGUAUCGCCCACUCACAGACAAGAGGACUCUAUAUGCAAAGUGAGAGCAAGAUGAGUAAGGAGGACAGCCCGAAGUCCCUCUGGGGCAAACGCAACACAAAUGGAGAAAGAGGAUCAGCUGCAAGUGAUGGAUGCAGUAAGUUUUCUGCUUGGUGUGACUCCUGUGCCAGAAGAAACCAUUGAACCCCAAGAUCAGGUUUUAACCUUAACUUGGAGAGAAUACAGCAAGGUGGGCCAAACCAGCAUGGCACAGCCCUUUGCUGAUCAAGCUGCAGGCCCACAGGCCCAGGAGAGUGUGUGUUCCUCAUGGCUGGGUAACGACAGCCUUUCAGUCAGAGACAGAUAGGAAAACAAGAAGGAUUAAAAACUGGCUCUUCUCUCUAAGAUACUCCAGACAUGGGGUGCUGUGGAGAUGGCGGUUGGAGGGUGUUGGUGUUCUGUCUAAACUCCACUCCCACAGUUACCUGGCAACAGCCAGGUAUGCUCCGCCCCACAGUUGCCUGGCAACAGCCAGGUUUGCCUGACACUGAUAUAAGGGGCUGCUUGGCCCUUCCUCCCUCUCUUGCUCUUUGCUCUCUUCUCUCCCCAUUCUCCUCCCCCUUCCCUCCACCUGCUCAUGGCUGGCCUUUAUUCUUUUCCUCUUGUACUCUUCUUCUCUCAUUAAACCUUUCCAUGUGGAA
rnacentral:sRNA from 1 species